rnacentral:rRNA from 1 species
UCACAGGGACACAUUUGAAGUCUCGGAGCCGGGUGUUGGUUCCGGUAGUGAUCGAGGGAAAUUAGUACCGAAGUCCGGGAUGGAAGAUGGCGAGAAAAGCUGUGUGUAUUUCUGCGGUGCCCGUACCGCAAACCGACACAGGUAGGUAGGAAGAAGAUUCUAAGGCCAACGGGAGAAGGGUUGUUAAGGAACUCGGCAAAUUGACCCCGUAACUUUGGGAGAAGGGGUGCUCCAGAGAUGGAGCCGCAGAGAAUCGGCCCAAGCAACUGUUUACCAAAAACACAGGUUUGUGCUAAAUCGAAAGAUGACGUAUACGAGCUGACGCCUGCCCGGUGCUGGAAGGUUAAGAGGAGAUGUGCAAGCAUUGAAUCGAAGCCCCAGUGAACGGCGGCCGUAACUAUAACGGUCCUAAGGUAGCGAAAUUCCUUGUCAGGUAAGUUCUGACCCGCAUGAAAGGCGUAAUGAUUUGGGCACUGUCUCGACAGCCCGCCCGGCGAAAUUGUAGUACCGGUGAAGAUGCCGGUUACCCGCGACAAGACGGAGAGACCCCAUGGAGCUUUACUGUAGCCUAAUAUUGGGUUUCGAUGUUGCAUGCACAGGAUAGAUGGGACACUGGGAAGCAAGUGCUUUGGCAUUUGUGGAGUGGCCGUUGGGAUACCAUCCUUGCGAUAUUGGAAUUCUAACCUGCGCCUUUGAAUCAAGGCGGGGGACAUUGUUAGGUGGGCAGUUUGACUGGGGCGGUCGCCUCCUAAAGAGUAACGGAGGCGUUCAAAGGUUCGCUCAGCUUGAGCGGAAAUCAAGCAAAAGAGUGCAAACGCAGAAGCGAGCCUAACUGCGAGACUGACGGGUCGAGCAGUAACGAAAGUUGGAGUUAGUGAUCCGGUGGUAUGUGAGUGGAAAUGCCAUCGCUCAACGGAUAAAAGUUACCCUGGGGAUAACAGGCUGAUCUCCCCCAAGAGUCCACAUCGACGGGGAGGUUUGGCACCUCGAUGUCGGCUCAUCGCAUCCUGGGGCUGUAUUCGGUCCCAAGGGUUUGGCUGUUCGCCAAUUAAAGCGGGACGCGAGCUGGGUUCAGAACGUCGUGAGACAGUUCGGUCCCUAUCUGUCGUGGGCGCAUGAUAUUUGAUGGGAGCUGUUCCUAGUACGAGAGGACCGGAGCGGACGUACCUCUGGCGCACCAGUUGUUCUGCCAAGGGCAUAGCUGGGCAACUAUGUACGGAUCGGAUAAACGCUGAAAGCAUCUAAGCGUGAAGCCGACCCAAAGAUAAGAUAUCCCAUUGUUUCAAACAAGUAAGACCCCUUGAAGACUACAAGGUUGAUAGGCAUGAUGUGUAAGUGGAGUGAUCCAUUCAGCAAGCGUGUACUAAUAGGUCGAGGGCUUGACCG